GACGAACGCUGGCGGCGUGCUUAACACAUGCAAGUCGAACGGAAAGGCCCUGCUUUUGUGGGGUGCUCGAGUGGCGAACGGGUGAGUAACACGUGAGUAACCUGCCCUGGACUUUGGGAUAACUUCAGGAAACUGGGGCUAAUACCGGAUAGGUGCUCCUGCUGCAUGGUGGGGGUCGGAAAGUUUAGGCGGUUGGGGAUGGACUCGCGGCUUAUGAGCUUGUUGGUUGGGUAGCGGCCUACCAAGGCUUUGGCGGGUAGCCGGCCUGGGAGGGUGACCGGCCACAUUGGGACUGCGAUACGGCCCAGACUCCUACGGGAGGCAGCAGUGGGGAAUAUUGCACAAUGGGCGGAAGCCUGAUGCAGCAACGCCGCGUGCGGGAUGACGGCCUUCGGGUUGUAAACCGCUUUCGCCUGUGACGAAGCGUGAGUGACGGUAAUGGGUGAAGAAGCACCGGCUAACUACGUG
rnacentral:rRNA from 1 species